AAAGAAGCUGAGUGAGGAGUCGCCAUGAUUCUCCCGCUCCAGACAGACGCAGGUUAAGAUCCUCCCUGGGAAAAUUAAUCAUUACAUGAUUAACCAUUCUCGAUAAAGUGGUGCUAUUGGUACUCUCUGGAAUGUCUAAGGUAAUUUCCUGGCAUGGACAAGGCAUGAAGAUCUGGAGAAAACAGAAAACCAAGCUGAGGAAAAUGUACACAACUGGGUGAGACUGGAGAUUACUUUUCUCAUUUGAUACUAGGCACAGUACUUUCCAGCACCAUGAAAGCUGCCCUGUCGAGUUGACACUUCCAGGUUAGCAGCUAACAGAUGAUGAGGUCUCUGUCUCUGAGUCUUGAACAGGAGUAAAAGCAUCUCAACUCAUAUUGCUGUAGUACAAGCUCAAGGUCCCAGAACAGAGAAAGACUGGCCUGUCCUUUGCUUUCAUGGAAUGGUAAUUUUGACGAAGCAGCAUUCACCGAGUCCUCUAGUUUACAUGGUGUGACAGAAGAGAUACUUUCAAACCAAAUAAGUCUAAGAGAUCACGUCUUGGAGUGAGCAAUGUUCUUACUUAGAGGAGGGAAGAAAGAAUUUGAUUUAUCGACUGAAAGAUGCCUGUGACAGCUCUGAGCGUGAACUUGGCCAUAUCUUCUGUUUGCUCGUGCAGUCUCCCAGUCGUUUCCACAUUCUUAGAUACUAGCUCUGUUUCAGUGAUGAACCUUCAUAACUCUUGCGUCACUGUUUUCAGUCAUACACCCAUGCUGCCUUUUGGUGUUUUACCUUGAUGAAAUACUUUUAAUAUUUGAUAAUAACUAUGAAUUGCUUUAAUCAUGUACCCAAAAUAUUGAUUUUACAUUCCAAGUUACUAUGAGGCUAAAAACAUUUUAGUUGGUAAAAUUUUGGGUUUCCUAUUUUUCAAAUCUUAAGUUGCUUGCAUGUUUCUGGCUCAAGUGAUCUCCUGGCUCAACUUCCUGAGCGCUGAGGUUCUAGGCAUUUGACACUGAAUCCAACAUAAGAAUUACAUUUUAAUGUUCAGUUCCCCUACUACAUGCUGGAUAUCUGUGGGGCAAUGUAUUAAAUACUGCUUUAUUAGAUGAGAUUCCUAUUCUAUUUGAGUGUUUGAGAAUAAUUGUAACAUUAGUAAUGAGAUAUUUGCAGUGGGUCAUAGUUCAGACAUUAGCAUGUGACAUAAAGGAUUUUUUAAAAUUCUAUUUUACUUAAUUGGAAAUCAUAUAUAUAUAUAUGUAUGUAUACACACAUACAUAUAUAUAUAUAUAUGACUUAGAAAACAGUAUUAUGAGUCAUUUAAAUUCAAUACUGGGGCUGUGGAUAAAGCUCAAUUGGUAAAAGGCUUGCCAUGCAAUCAUGAGAACAUGUGUCAAUUUGCUAAAAGCAGAAAAAGAACAACAUGAUGGUGGAUACUUGUAGCUCAAACUCUGGGGAGGUGAGGACAGGGUAACCCCUGAAGCUAAGUGGCCACACAGUGGAAUCUACAUAGAGAGUUCCAGGAUGUGAAAAAUCUUGUUUCAAUGAAAGAAAAGGAAGGAGGACUGUUCCUGAGAAAUGACAGGAGACUGACGUCUGCUAAACCACACACACACAGGCACAAGCACUCAUUCCCACACGCUCCCUACACAUAUACAACCUCAUACAGACAACAAAUAAAAAAAAAUCAGCUAUUUUUAUCAGAGCAAAAUUUGUAUUUAGUUUUUUAUGCAGUAUAUUUUGAAAAUGUUUUCCCCUUCCCAGUUCCUCCCAGGUCCUCUUCACCUCCCUACUCAUCCAACUUCUGACUGCUUUCCUUCCUUCCUUCAUCCUUCAUCCUUCCCUCCAUCCUUCCUGCCCAUCCUUCCUGCCCUCCUUAACCCCCCCUCUGAAAACCAACAAAGGAACAAAUCCAAACAGGGCAAAAUCCCACCACCAACCACUACCCCUCUCCUCCAAAAACAUUGAAAAAGUACACAAAAACCAUGGGGGUUCACUUUAUGUUGGACUGCCUGAGCAUAGUUGAAAUACUCAGUGACAUUCCUUUGGAGAAAAUUUGUUAUCCACCCACCAGCAGGGGAUAAUAAUAAAAUGCAAGUAGCCUCUAAGUUAGCAAUGGGAUCUUUUGUCCACUCCUCCUCUUGGCACUGAAAUCCCAACUGGACUGGCUUGAAAUAUGCAUAUCCUGUGCAUGUUGCCAAAAUCUCUGUGAGUUUGCAUGUUCAGAUACUAUUUAAGUGUUAAUUUCAAAGUCAAUCAGACACUGGAAAAUGUAUUACAUUUGAUUCUUAUUUUCUGUUCAUUCUCCAUCUUAUUGAAAAUAGAUUAAUUUCUCAUAUCUCAAAAACUGUUUCCUCUCCUUCUAGUCCUCCCAAUUCCUCCCAACCUCUUCUCCCACCCAGAUCCUCUCACUUUUUGUCUCUCAUUAGAAACGUUAGGCAUCUAAGAGGUAACAACCAAAUAUACCAAAAUAAAAUAUAAAGAUAAACAGAAACCUUACAUCAAAAUUAGGCAAGGCAAAGCAACAGAAGGAGAAGAACCUAAGGCAUUGGAAUUAGAGGCCAACUCAUUCACACACCCAGAACUCCCAUGAAAACACUAAACUGAAAGCUAUACUAUAAACACAGAUGAACUGGUGCAGACCCGUGUCAGCCCUGGUCUAGCUGCUUCAGUUACGUUCACAUGAGUAUUGCUCACUGGCUUUAGAGGGCCUUGUCUUCCUGCUGUCCUUUAUCACCUCUAGCUCUUAGAUGCUUUCCACCUCUUCUUCUGCAGGGUCCCCUCAGCUGUGAGUGGAGGGAUUUGCCCGAUUAUGACUUUCUUCUUUUUAAAUUCUGAGGAAUUAUAUUUUUAUUUCACAAAUUAUUUAUGUGUUUAUUCAUUCACUCCUUAUUUUUUUUAAUUUUCCAUGUGUACAUAUGCAUGUGAAUGCCAUGGUAUGUCCCGGAGGUCAACGGACAACUCUCUGUAGUAGGUUCUCUCUUACCACCAGUGAGUGCUAGAGAUCAAAGGUGCUCACGCUGGCCACCUACUGAGUCAUCUCACCAACAAAAAUUAUGUUCUUAAGAAAGUGCUUAUUUCAGUUGCUUUUGAUGGAACCAGAAAACAUCAAAUAUCAGAGAAAAAUAAAAUGACAGCCAUGGUUAAUAGUGGGCUUGUAGUCUAAGAAAAGAAGCAGACAUUCCCACAUUUUCUGCACCUGUCUGAUUUCCUGUGAGCAUAUUGGUUUUCUACUUUGAUUUAUUAUGAUUUUGAUUGUGUAUAUAUGUGUGUGCCUUUGUGAGCUACAUCCCAGCCUUCACAUUGACUUUCUAUUGCCAGUUGAACUUAUCAAAAGGAAACAAAUAUCAAAAACUCGAUUUUAAUGAGUUGGUUUACAUGUUAUAUAGGUGAAGCACAGAUAAACGUGUCAUAGGGCUUUCCACUGUAUAAACAAUAGACACCAAGGUUUAGCUGCCUGGAUAACAAGUUUUUAGGGAAGCUUUCAGAAUUUGAUUUGUUAAGAUAAAGUGAAAUUUACACUAACUUAAAUAAGCAUAUUUGUUUAUUCUUUGGGCAAUUGAGUACAACGUUUUUUUUUUUUUUUCUGAAAAAAAAAAGCAUCUUUCUUCAGAGUCUCCUAUUAUUCAUGUACGUGAACAAUUGCUUCCCACUGAAUAAGAGCUGACCCAUGACCUGGUUUAAUUAACAGUAUGUAGAAGAAUGAAGGUGUGGGGUGUGUAUAUGUGUGUGUGUGUGUGUGUGUAGCUCUCAAGGAGUGAAACAAAUGGCAUUUGGCUUUUUUAUCACGCUGUGAGAUUUAUCACUGAUCACAGCUCUAAGUGCGUGGAGUAAGUUAUGGUUCUUUGAAUAAGACACUAAAGUAGGAGUCUGCUUCUUUAAUUAUUAGAUUGAUAUACAGCAUAAUUAACUAAGUGGUAGUAAUAAAAUUACAAAGCCAUGCAAUAAUUCAUUUUGUGUUCAUGCACCAUGUCCAAUUUUUCCAUGCUAACCUUUAACCUGCGCAUCGUCUUUCACAUUAUUAAUUUGUACAAACAAAUGCAAAUUUUCUGUUUUUUAAUUACCUAAGGGAAUGAGCAUGAUUGCUUAUGCAAUAAUAUUAAUAACAUUUAUGUUCGGAGCACUCUUGCUGAUAAGAAUUAAAUAUUUACACAAAAAAUGUAAAAAUAACAAUAAUGACUAUUUCGAAAUGGACGCAUGAAAGACUAUUGCUCAUUUGUACCAGCUUAUAAAAGUGAGUCAUAUGAUUUGCAUGCAUUAAAGUCCAUAGGAUUGAAAAGAAUAUUAAAAAGCAAAUAACCACGAGUGAUGCUUAUGCAACCGAUUUGGAGGCAUUUAUGUGUGGGGUGCUCUAGGAAAUGUUGCCAUUACCAACUGUUUCCUGAUGACUAAUCUGCCUGACUGGGACUAUGGAUGUACUGUUCAGUAGAUGAGCUGAUAUUGCCAAUUAUCUGCUCACUUUAUUAUUCAAUGGACAGAGCUCACAAGGUAGCACUUAGUGAACAGACUGCUUGAUAGCUUUUAUCUGUAAUGUGACAUUUUUAUUCAUAUCUAUUCACAUAAUAACUAAGUGGAACACACAUAACUGAAGUGAAAACAUUUAGAAUAGAAGCGAAUAGUGACUUUAUUAUCAAUAUUACAUUAAGAUAACUAGGAAGAUCAGAUCCAAUUCCUGUGGCCAUGUGCAUCCUUUUCUCUUGAUCUAACAGAGCAAUAGGUUAGGAGUUAUUAUGCUUCAUUUUUUUCUGAGCAUUUGCUUUGUUAAUUUUGUCUGUUUUCUUUACAGUUCUUCAGUCUGAAGCCCUUGGUACACUUUGUAAGGAACUGAAACUUAAUCAUAAUGUUGAUUCAUAGUACAAAUACAUUUCUAGCGAUCAUAAUUAAGAAACUACCUCAAUUCACACUUGACAUAGCUCUAGAGAGAUUCUGUUGAUUGUGGCAAAAAUAGCUUCUUUUUUAAUUUCCUUAAUUUCUGGUGGUUUCUAUUUGGAGAUGGAUAGUGUUAAAAACUGCCGCCAGGACUCUAUUACAGUUCUGCUGGGGCUUUCACUUAUUAGAUUUGGACCUAACCUUAUCAAAUGAGCUUCUAACUAAUGAUUAUACUCUAAAGACCACUUUUACACUAAUUGCCUUUCCCUGUUUAAUUGUUUUACAAAAUUGAUAAUUUAGUAGAAAUAUAAUAAGCCUCUAAUAUUUUAGAUAAUUUGGCCCUUUUGUGGUCUUUAGAGGGUUCUCACUUCCUAGAAAAUUAGAAUGCACAUUGUAAAAUUUAGGUCUUGCUUUCAGCAUGAUUCGUAAAGGCUGUAGAACUACACAAGAAGAUUUGCACAAUGCUGAGCUCUUGUCCUGAGUGUCUUAGUUUUUCUUUUAAAUUUGAACACAUUAAGAACACUAAAUCAAAAAUACUUUUCGGAGGUGUCCAACACAAGUAUAAUUUUUUGAAAGACUUAAAACCAAAAUCAUUUCUUUUCUCAAUGAGGCAAAUACAUACUAAAAUGUUUUACUUUAUUAGAUUAAAUUUUAAUGUGAGAAUACUCCAGUUUUAUUUGGGAUACUGCAGUAAGAAACAAGUGAUGUGGUAGACCACAGACAAACACUUUAGGGAAGCUUAAGUUAAAAUAUUUAUGCAUCCCUCUCCCUUUCCACCUCCGAUGAAAGUUGUUUUCCAAGAAUCCUGAGGCAACUGUUCUGCGUGCCAAAAACUACUCACUGUAUAGACAUAGUCGUUUCCUUAACUUUGCCCAUUACUAUACAAGCCCCAUAAGGACAAGACUCCCUUCCCCUUUGUAGGGGAUGUCUGCAGGGCUGCCCUCUGUCUUGGUAAAAUGUGCUUUCCUGGAAUGUCUGGAAGUAGAGAAUUAUUGCAGAUAAACUUGGCAACAGAAACUGUGACAAAUAUUUCAAUACUAUUGCACUUUGGAAAUACAGAGUCGUUUUAUUGGGAUAGAAAAUAAAAACAGAAAUGAACAACUUACCACUUUGGAGAGUGGCCAACAGCGAGAUGUUUUAUGUUAUUUUUAUGAAAUGAAGACUGUUUAGUGAAUAAUAUGCUAAAAAAUGUUCGGUGUGCUCAGCAUUUUCUAUUCUCUUCAUUGAAAUGUUGAAAGCUUUCCUUGUUGUUUUGGAGACAGAAGAGUGGCUGCUGAGCUGAAAAUGUAUGCUUGAAGUCAGAAUUUAAGACUUAAUGACAAAUUUCGGUAGUUCUGAAAGCCUUAUUUUCCUUUGUUUAAUCAUAGAUGACAUUGAAUACUACACAAUACUUCCAAAAGAAUAACAGCAAUUCACAAGUAUAACUCAGAUAUUAAACAUCCUGAUUGACUUGGAAAGAAAUUAUUGUUCUGUAUAAUUUCAGGCAAUGUUUGUUCUGUGCAAAUUUCCCUGAAAAUUUAGGUACAAAUUUUCUUUCUUUAGUCAUUAAUCCUUUCUAAAUGUUUAAUUCUGAGUAAUAAGCACAGUUCCCAAAUAAUUUAAAGUAGUCCCAAAUUAUCAAAAAGCAACAUCGAGUAUUGUGAACACAUCUAUAGACAUGAUUUUGAUGUGGAUUUGAAUAUUGCACAGUGUGUUCCUCAGGGCACAUCCCCCAAGAUGCACCAUCUAAUCACAGAGUUCAACAUAUGCCAUCAAUAACAGAGAAAGCGAAGUUAAUUACAGGUUCCUGUACAGCGUCUCUCUGCCACUAGUGGCCCAUUAUAAUGUAUCAUUCUUCAAAUUGAGAGGAGAUUGACAGAAAUUUUAUCAACUUUUCAGUCCCCAUGUCUUUUCUGUGCAAUAAGUGUCUGCCGUACACUGGGAAAGUGAUUAAAUAUCAAUUUCACGGAAACCUGGGAAUAAUGUUUAAACGACUAAUGAGACACUAUUUUUACUACUGAGGUACUGUGACUGCCCCAUGAGUCAGAGGAACGCCUGUCAUUCUAAUUAGUCAUCAUUUGGCCAGGUUUUCAUUUCUCUCUCUCUCUCUUUAGGUCCCUAAUUGGAUAUUUAGGAACUUUAAACUUAGUAUCUCAGUGGGAGGAAUGUUCUUACAAAAUCAGUAGAAUUUUCAUGUCAUAAUUCUUUUGAGUUUUUCUAUCAGAGGCAGCAACAAUUUUAUUUGAAAAACAUCAUUUAUAAUCCAUCUGCACUUAUAUUAACAAUACGCAACUUGCUUCAUUAAAAUUAAUUUCAAAAUAUCAAAACAUAUCUUUUAUAAAAUUAUGCUAUUCCUUUAUAUUAUAUAUAAAGAAAUGUGUAUAUAAUGUAUAUAUAAUACAUAUUGUAUUAUAUGUAUAAUUAUAUAAUUAUUGCUUCAGGCAUUUUCUCUAUUACAGGAACAAUAUAGAAGCUAUAAAAGAGUUUCAAGUAAAAGCAAGUUGCAUAAAAAUCAUUAUUUCUUCCAUAAAAACGGUAUUCUACUAAUUAGUAAAAUAUUAUAAUAAUAGGAGAUUUUGAUAAAAGAUUCUCAAGGUUAGCAUUUUCAUGACUACUAUGAAAACAGAAGCUGUGGAGUGGUUUCACAGAGAGGAGGUCUACAAUGUCAUGAUAAAUUUCACCCAUAAACUCUUCAUAAACAUAAACUUAAAUUUCUGCUGUAUAUAAUCAAUUUAUUUACUAUCAGAGUCAGGCAGAUAUCUUUGUUCCCACAUUUCUGGUCUGUUUUCCAUUCUUUAUUUCUUCACAACAUAAGCACAGUCAUGGGACAAUACAAUUAUUUAUAGUUUUUUUUUUUAUUUAUUGAAAAAUUACCGCCUCCUCCCCAUUUCCCAUUUCCCUCCCCCUCCUCCCACACAUGUCCCCCUCCCCCACUCCUCUACCCCUUCCCCCUCCCCCCACUCCAUUCCCCCUCCCUCCCGAGAAUGAAGAGCAGUCCAGGUUCCCUGCCCUGCGGGAAGUCCAAGGUCCUCCCACUUCUAUCUAGGACCAGGAAGGUGAGCAUCCAAACGGGCUAGGCUCCCACACAGCCAGUUCAUGUAUUAGAAUUGAAACCUAGUGCCAUUGUCCUUGGCUUCUCAUCAGCCUUCAUUGUCCGCAAUGUUCAGGGAGUCUGGUUUCAUCCCAUGCUUAUUCAGUCCCAGUCUUGCUGGCCUUGAUGAGCUCCCAAAUAGAUCAGUUCCACUGUCACAGCGGGUGGGUGCUCCCCUCGUGGACCUGACUUCCUUGCUCAUGUUCUCACUCUUUCUGCUCCUCAUUUGGAUCUUAAGAGCUUAGUCCGGUGCUCCAAUUUCGGUCUCUGUCUCUAUCUCGAUCCAUCGCCAGAUGAAGGUUCUAAGGUGAUAUGUAAGAUAUUCAUCAAAAAGAUGAACAUGGGAUGUACUCACUCAUAAUUGGUUUUUAGCCAUAAAUAAAGGACAUUGAGAAUAUAAUUUGUGAUCCUAGAGAAGCUAAAUAAGAAGGUAAACCCAAAGGCACACCUGGGAACUUGGGGUGAGGUGGCAUGGGGCUAAGGGGAAAUGGGGUGAGAAAGGUGAGAAGGGGAGAUUGGGGUGAGCUUGGGGGAAUGGGAUGGUUGGGAUAAAGGAAGGGUGGACAUGGGAGCAGAGAAAUAUAUAUCUUAAUUAAGGGAUCCAUCUUAGGGUUGGCAAGAGACUUGACUCUAGAGGGGCUCACAGGUGUCCAGGGAGAUGUCCUCAGCUAGUACCUUGAGCAACUGAGCAGAGGGAAUCUGAAAUGACCCUAUCCUAUAGCCAUACUGAUGAAUAUCUUACAAUUAUUUAUAUUUUGCUCUGCUCUGAUAUGUGUGUCUCCCAGAAAGAGGAGUUGUGAGUUAUUUCACAAAACUGAGUUCUUUCAGCAUCAUUUUUAUACUAAAUUAUUUAAUUUUAAUUCUGUUCAAAGAUAAAUCUAAAACUAAAAAUACCCACUCAGAAAAUAUGUGAAUCAAGCUUACUUUAAACAGCAUAAAAGUAAAUGCUUAUUGAAGACAAUAUAAGAACUUUGGAUAUGCCAAUCUAUACUAAAAAUAGAAAUAAUUUUAUCUGUUGCUAUCUCUUUAAACUUUCAUAGAAAGUUAUAAAUAAUUAUACAAGUCGAACUCCAAUUAUCAUUAAAAGACUGGUCUUUAAUUUCACUUUUUGGAAUGAUCAUAAAAACAAGUUCAGAAACAUAGAUAAAAUUUUUUGGUAAAAGAGCAACAUCUAUGAAUUAAACAAUAAUAAUUUCACAGUGAUAAUUAAAUAGAAGAAAUAUAUAUGUAAAUAAAUUUGACUAUACUUGCAUUUUAUCAUGAUAAAAGUCAAGUUUUUAUCAUGGGUGAUAAAUUAUCUGGGUGAAAAUUAUUAUAUUAAUAUCAGUUUUUUCUCUUGGUUUCUGCUCAUUUUCCUGGUUUUGGAAAUAUGAGGAAAUGAUAUCAAAUGCAAGUGUAUCUGUGAACAUGUAUACAAAUAAACACACACAUACACACACUCUCUCUCACAUACACAUGUACAUACAAAAAUUUAUUAACUUGUAUAAAAUUUGUAUGCUGUUACUUUUUUUCAUGUAAUCAUAAUCAUAAUAAAUAGAUUAUGUAUGGUGUACAAAAUAAAUAUUUUAAUAUUGGACUUCUUCCAGAUGGUUUUCAUGUCACACAUGGGUCAGUGGAAUAAUCUACUGAACUCUGUUGAAUGUUCAAAUGUAGAGCGGCAGUUUAUUACAAAAUCACAUUUUCCUUGAAUGAUCUUAUAUUAUAAUCUAUAGUGUAUAAUAUAUAUUAUACUAUAAUAUAUGUAUGUAUGUAUGUAUGUAUUAUGUGUGUGUGUGUGUCAGAACUAUUUAAGGACACACACUCACUCUCAUCUGAGAAGGUAAAGUUUCACUUCAAUAUCAUUUUGGCAAAUAUAUUCUAUAGAUUUCCCCAGCAUUGAUUUCGAUGCCUAUACUUAAUAUCAUGGUUAGGAAAAAAAUAUUGACAAUUUAAAUCAAUCACUUAGUAUUUGGCGUUUCAUGUUUUUCAAAUGAACUGAAUUAAUAAUAAACAUCCAUACUCAAAUGUUGCAUAAAAGUGCAAAAGUGGUGCAAUUGUUCUUGUUAUUUUUCCUAUGCAUACAUUAAUCAUCUUUCCUUAAAAUUUUAAAAUGCUAUAAGCUUACAGACUAUUCAGGAUUUUUGGAUUUCCCAGUCAGUAUAUAGGCUUGGCUAAGUGAAUCAAAUAUACAUCAUGAAGAAUUGCUUGAGGCAGGAAUUGCACCCUUACUGUUCUGAGUCUGUGGUUGAGUAGAUAAGGAAAUAUUUUAGAAGUUAAUUUAAUUUCACUUUACAAAUAACAUAUGUGGAUUUGAUUAUUUUCAUAUUAGUAGUAACUGUAUAUCCUCUAUAGCAUAUAGAGAUCUUCAUGCACUAUUUAGAGAUACAAGAUCAUUGCUUUUUAAAAAAUGAAAAUUUGGUUAAUCAUUAGACAUAUACUGAUAUAAAAGAAGAAUGAUUAACCCAAAUAUCAGUUUUAUAAACUGUCAAUUCCAUGUGUUUUAUAAGUUAUUUCUAUACAUAUUCAUUAUUUCACAAUUUGUAUGAUACAGAGAAAAAUAAAGAAAAAAAUAGAUGAAGGAAUUAGACAUGCUCAAAAGAUUAUGAUAUGUUUUGAACAUGGAAAAUAAUUCUUUCUCUAUACCUUUUAAUUCGAUCUUCAUUUUGGGCAUAAAAUCUCAGUGUUUUCUUGAAGCAAUAAUUAUUUUAUGAAAUUAACAACUGAGAAGUAAAAAUAGGAGUUAACAAAAGGAGGUACAUGUGUAGAUUCUGGUUGAGGGCUGAUCAUUGCACAGUGUUCCAAUUCAGCAUCUCCCUUUGUCUGCACACUAUUUGAAAAUGCAAUCAAGAUGCUCUAAUCGCUUUAGCAUUCUUAUGCAUACUAGCAAGUGAACAAUAUAUUAUAAACAGAUGUUCAGCUUAGCGGGAAGUCUCAUUAAAGACCUGGAAUCCUGACCCAUUCCAGAAAAUGUAUAGCAUCUGGCAUGUUCAAAAUAGAACUGCUCCUAUCGAUUCAUCCAUGGAAUAGUACUCUUGUGUGCUCAGACACUGUGACUCACUUUUCUGGGGAUGACUUAACUCGCUUUUUUUUCUCAUGAGAACUAUCUUGGAAGAAAUGUCAGUGAAAAUACAUAAAGUGAAGAAAAUAGCAUCACAUGAUAAAUCCAGGGCUGGCAACAGCUUUUCCUUUAUUUCGAUUUUGGGAUCAUGACUGGCAUUAUGAGAACACUUUUUUCCCCCAGCCCUGUAUCCUUUAAAAUCAGAGAAAUUUCACAUAACUACUUAUGCUGUUUUUCUUGUUUUUCUAAAAUUUACAAUUUUCUUCAGAGUACAAUUAGAAAUUAUUUAACUUGGAUUUUCAAAAUAUCACUUAAGUAUUCAUUUAUAAAACCCUAUGUUGUUUUUUUUACCUGCAAUGUCUUUUAACCAGUCUCUCACAUUUGAAUUUUUUUUAACAUUUCUCCAUCUUUUUUUUUCUCUUUAUAAUCUCCUAUUCUGUUGGCACGUGAUUGUGUUGUAUAUAGAGUAUAACUUUUUUAUUUGAAGAUGCUAUAUGUCUUGUCCUAGUGAGCCUCUUUCUCUUCAACUUAAAGAGAGUAACAGCAGAUUCCAAUGAAAAUUACUUGGUACACCAUGGAGUUUACAAGCAUUACUUUCAAAAGCAUAUGUGGUUCCAGGAGCUCCUGACUGAAGAGUUCCAUCCCUCACAC